rnacentral:rRNA from 1 species
CACCAAGGCGAUGAUGCAUAGCCGACCUGAGAGGGUGACCGGCCACAUUGGGACUGAGACACGGCCCAAACUCCUACGGGAGGCAGCAGUGGGGAAUAUUGCACAAUGGGGGAAACCCUGAUGCAGCGACGCCGCGUGAGCGAAGAAGUAUCUCGGUAUGUAAAGCUCUAUCAGCAGGGAAGAAGAUGACGGUACCUGACUAAGAAGCACCGGCUAAAUAC